GUGCUUACUUCAGUAGCACAUAUACUAAAAUUAGAAUUAUACAAAGAAGAUUAACUUGGUACAUUAUCAAGGAUUACAGGCAAGUUUGAGAAUUGUUCCAUAUUUUU